AAGCGGUGGAUGAUGUGGUUAAUUCGAUGCAACGCGAAAAACCUUACCCAACCUUUGACAUGUACGGAACCCUUUAGAGAUAGAGGGGUGCUCGAAAGAGAGCCGUAACACAGGUGCUGCAUGGCUGUCGUCAGCUCGUGUCGUGAGAUGUUGGGUUAAGUCCCGCAACGAGCGCAACCCUUGUCAUUAGUUGCUACAUUCAGUUGGGCACUCUAAUGAGACUGCCGGUGACAAGCCGGAGGAAGGUGGGGAUGACGUCAAGUCCUCAUGGCCCUUAUAGGUGGGGCUACACACGUCAUACAAUGGCUGGUACAAAGGGUUGCCAACCCGCGAGGGGGAGCCAAUCCCAUAAAGCCAGUCGUAGUCCGGAUCGUAGUCUGCAACUCGACUACGUGAAGUCGGAAUCGCUAGUAAUCGUGGACCAGAAUGUCACGGUGAAUACGUUCCCGGGUCUU
rnacentral:rRNA from 1 species